rnacentral:sRNA from 1 species
CGUAGGUCUCAUAGCUAUAUGUGUGUUAUCCUGAGGUCGAGAGUUCGAGCCUCUCUCACCCCAUUC